UUCCUAGAACAUAACGUUAAUGCAUCGGAUCCCAUUAGAACUCCACAAUGAAGCAUGCUCGGGCUAGAGUAGUACUAGGAUGGGCGAUGGCCCGAUAAGUCCUAGUGUUUUACAUGC
rfam:Picea glauca, whole genome shotgun sequence.